UCUUUUCACAUAAUGUAGAUUGGAGGUUAUUCCGUGUGAAGCCACUGGAGCCCCUGGGCUCUGCUGCUGUGACCUUUCUGUUCAGGGAUAUCUCCAGCUUAUUUGAGCCGUAUUAGCAAAGCGACGGGAAACCAGCCCCACGUACCCAUCCCUGGAGCCAGCGUGUCCACCUUCUGUGUCCUCCACGCCUCCAAAUCCCCACGCUGGGGUGUGACACUCAUUCUAGCCUAAUUUCAUCCAUUAUUGUUUCCCUGAUGUAUCUCAAAGAGAGAAAAACGUUCAAAAGACCAUAAAACCACCAUUCCACCACAGAAUUCCAAAUAUCCAAUCAAUGUUCAGAUCUUCCUCAUUGCCUUAUAAAUUGCUUCAUGUUUUAAGUUUGCUUGCUGGAAUCCGGCAGUGCCCGUGUGACCUCUACGACACGACCUUUCUUUCUGUCUCCCCGACGCCAACGCUCUUUUCAGUUCAGCUAAAGAAGGGCUUGUGCACCCUCUGCACUCGCCGACCGGGGCCCUGUGGUUUUGCGUGUUCUGCUCCGUCCUAUUGAGAGGUGGUCAGACCGAGGCCACCUCAGGCUCCCCUGCGAUUCCGUUCGGCAGGAGCACCUCGGGGGUCUCAGGGCACCUCUGUGGCGCUGCUGUUGUGCCUUCCUCCACCGUUAGCUGGACUAGUAAAGAGAAACCCAAGGUUCACGUUCCUCACUAAAACACCCGCUCUUCGAUUAUACGGAUGUUUCAUGCAUUUGUGAUACAGUUACUCACUGAUGUACAUUUUGGCCAUUUGUAAUCAUUCACUGUUUAAAAUGCUGCUGGAGUAUUUGUAUAUAUACAUAAUUUCGCUCAAGUGGCUCUCUGUGGAAUAAAUUCUAAAAAUUUCUGGGUCAAAGGGCACACACAUUCAGCCCCAAUCUUGCUGUUCACCACCUGCAGCGGCUGUGCCAACCCACCCCCACCAGCGAUGAAGCACCUGCCUCGUGCCCUUACAGGGAGGGAAAGCAUCUUCUCACAUAUUUAUGAACUGCUUUAUUUCCCUUUUAGUAAAUUAUUCUUGUCAUUAGCCCAUUUUUCUAUUGGUCGGUAUUUUCAUAAGGAAAGCUCUCUGACGUGCUGCGAAUUUUUCUGCCAUUUGACAUUUUUAUAUUUAUGCCAUUGUGAUAUCAUCAAAUUAAAUGACUUUCAUUUAUGGAGUUUGAGUCAUUCUGAGACAAUCACUCCUGGUUGUGAAAUUCAAAAAAACCACAUUGUCCAAUUUUGCUUCUGGGAUUUCUACUUUUUAAUUACAUCUUUAAUACAACUGGAAUUUCUUUUGGUAAAGAGAUUACAGAUGCAAAUUUUUCUUUCCAUUUGGAUACCUAAUUGUCCCAACAUCGUUUAUAUCCUGCUUUUCCAGGAAUGAAAUGCCAUCUUUCUAUGUUGGUUGUGAACAUGCAUUUGGCACCUGGCAGGGCCAACCCUCAUGGCGUGUGUGUGAACACAUCCCUAAACCGUAGUCUAAUUUACCCUAUUUUUGUAGUUCACGUGAGCAGAAUCCAGUAUCUGUGUUCUUGCAUCUGGUUUUCACGCCACGUGUUUGGGGUGUGUACACAUCCGCUGUGUGUGCUGUGGACUUGAUCCAUGUCCCAUGUGCAAACGCCACCCCGCCCAGAGGCCACGCCAGGACCCAGGCCUGUGGGCCGUGGUUCCCAGUUUGCUCUUGCAAGGACGCUGUGUCCUCCUGCGUGGGAGUCCCUGCUUCGGGUCUCAUCCUGGGAGUGGAAGGCAGGUCGUGGGUGUGGCUGCGUCCUCAGCUUCUCUGGAUGAUACCCACCAAGAGGCUGGCCUGGGAACACACCGGGAGCCAGAGGGCCCAGCCGCACAGCUCCCUCGCACUGGGCUGGGCACUUGGUCACCAGCAGUUUGGGGAAUGUGUUCUCUUGGUGGUUUCAGGUGUGAGUCUGAGCAUCAACCCCGUGUCCGCUGGAUGCUGGAGUUCUUUCCUCUCUGGCGGUGUUUCUCAUCAGGGUUCCCCACCGGCCUACUGCACGCUGCGUCUCUCCUGACCUGUAGGAGUCCUCUAUGCCUCUGGCUGCUCACCUUUGUUGGUUUAAUGUUUUGCAAAUGUCUUCCUCUGUUUUGUGCUUUGCUUUUUCAUUCUUCUAAUGGAACAUGUUGCUUUACAGAAGCAUCUAGUUUUAACAGUCUUGUUUAAGACGGUGUCAACACGCACUGGGCUGGCCUGGUCCCUGAACUCAGGUGUUUCCUU